ACAGAUGUUAACUUCUAUGUCAUUUUGGUCUCUGGUGGAGAGUUGCCUCAUUGGCAAUCAUACCACAUCUUCUCAUUUUUAUAUAUCCGGUUAACUGCUGUAGAUCGAGUAAUGAGGUACCACAGCAAAGAAAAGUAAACAAAGAUGCUUUAGAUGAAAGAAAUAAAUAUAAAGUGUAGAAUAUUGACUUGCUUUUGUAAAAGAUUUUUGUGCAUUUCAUAGCACGUGUACUGCAUAUUUUGUAGGAAUUAGAAUACAGUUUUGUUUACAAAGAGAAAGAAGGCCGUCGUAUAAGAAUGCAUUUUUAUUAAAUGAACACAUCAUAUUUCUGAUUCUAAUAAAUUAAUCAAGUAUAACCACAUGAAAACAAAAGGACGUGUUAUUAAAUGAACAAAUAUGUAUAAAUCAGUCGAGUUAGAGUUUUUGUCGAAUAAAUAAUAUUCAAACCUUCUAUAAUUUUAAUGUGACCAUAACAACAACGCCAAUCUAACAUCAACAAACCACUUAAAGGAGAUGUGACAUGAUUUUUUUUAUUUUAUUUUUUUUGAAAUAAAUAUUUAUUUACACAUAAUUACCCCCCAAAAAACAUCGAAAGCAAUAUAAUUAUCGUUUAAAUGGAUAAAUAUGAAUUUAAAUGUAUCGAUCUGUCGACAUACUAAUUAUGCAUAUUUCAAUCCCGGAAAUCACUCAGAACGAGGCUGUGACGUCAGUGGUUUCAUCAAUCAUAUUUGACUGACGGGUGUAUAGGCAUAAUUAGCGCAAUUUCAUUUUCGAAUAUCUUCCAACAAAACCCAUGACAGUGAUUAAAAAUGGUUCUGUGUGCUGCCAGUGGAUGCAACAAUAGGCAUAAGAAGGACAGUUUAAUUAGUUUUUUUUCCGUUUUCCGAGUAACCCGCAAACCAGGAAGGCGUGGACACACUAUUGUAAGAGAUGGGACUUCCUACCAAGCACUGGUCAUAGACUUUGUUCCGCCCACUUUACAAAUGCAUGUUACGAUCGUGACCCAGAAGUUAUGAAGAAUCUCGAGGGCUGUCCUACCAUGAAGCCAAAACUCCGUCCAAAUGCGGUACCUGACAUUCCAUUGACACAACCAACAACAGCUGAGCCAAGGCCACCUAUACCUAAGCGGGGAGCUUAUGAGAAGCGGAGAAAGGCUGACAUCCUACAGCUUGCAUAUUGCUUGAAAGAUCGUCAAUGUCGGACUCUUCGGAUGACGAAUUUAUAUCUUCUGCUUGAUUAUUUUCAACAAGUAACGGCUCAAACUGAUAUGGUCGAAUAUCUAAAGUUUGAGAGUUGUCUUGAAAACUGCUGUCAACACCGUCCAUUGUUUAAUUAUGCAGAAAUGUGAUCGACUUCGUCCAUAUUGAGACAUUUUCUCAGCUUGUAUCCACUGACGUCAUCACGAUCACGUGACCGGUAUCUAAUUAAAAAUCAAAGAUUACGACACGCGCUGGAUUAUUUGACCAUAAAAAGGCCGUUUAAUGAGGUUUUGACAAGAAAAAUUUAUUAAAAUAUGUUUUUUGACCAAUAUUAAUAAAUUAAUUAAAAAAAAAAAAAAAAAAAAAAA